UACGGAGGGGACUAGCGUUGUUCGGAAUCACUGGGCGUAAAGGGUGCGUAGGCGGGUCUUUAAGUCAGGGGUGAAAUCCUGGAGCUCAACUCCAGAACUGCCUUUGAUACUGAAGAUCUUGAGUUCGGGAGAGGUGAGUGGAACUGCGAGUGUAGAGGUGAAAUUCGUAGAUAUUCGCAAGAACACCAGUGGCGAAGGCGGCUCACUGGCCCGGUACUGACGCUGAGGUGCGAAAGCGUGGGGAGCAAGCAGGG
rnacentral:rRNA from 1 species